GACGAACGCUGGCGGCGUGCCUAAUACAUGCAAGUAGGACGCAGUUGCGAACGGGUGAGUAAAGCGUAGGUAACUACCUAGUAGAGGGGGAUAACUAUUGGAAACGAUAGCUAAUACCGCAUACUAGUAGAUGGACCUGCGUUGUAUUAGCUAGUAGGUAGGGUAAUGGGCUACCUAGGCAACGAUACAUAGCCGAGCCGGGAGGGUGAUCGGCCAACCUGGGACUGGGGCACGGCCCAAACUCCUACGGGAGGGAACAAGUGGGGAACAUCGGCAAUGGGGGGAAACCUGGACAAAGAACGGCGCGGGAGUGAAGAAGGUUUUCGGGUCGUAAAGCUAUGUUGUUAGGGAAGCGGUACUUGACCAGAAAGGAACGGCUAACUACGUGCCAGCAGCCGCGGUAAUAC
rnacentral:rRNA from 1 species